rnacentral:misc_RNA from 1 species
AGCAUUGAUUUCCAUUGUGUAUCGGAAAUGAGGAUGUAAAAGUCUGAAGAUAGGGUGCAUUUCACUGAGUUGUCUAUGAGCUGCAAUUAUGUAUGGCUCUACACAGCAGUGUGUCCUCAGCCAGUGAGAGACAAGUUGGUGGAUGCCAGAGUCAUGAGCUAAGGCAUGUGCUUUUGCCAUCCUCCAAAGCCAACAGCUAGUGGCAUCAA